GAAAAUGGAAUUUUGUGGCACGUGAUUGAAGCGAAGCCUCGCUAUAGGACGGGCGCGAGCUUGACGGAGCUGGCUUGAUUAGUUGUCCCAGGGAUGGUUGGGAGGGGAGGCGGGUAGCGCGAGCCCGGGGACUGCACUUGCGCAGUGUUUCUGGCUCUCCGGGCAGUGAGUGAAUGCUGGUGUCUCUGGAGCUUUCUCUAGCAAGAUGAAGCAAGUGUUUAUUCUAUUAGAAAAAUCUUUGCUUGGUGCUCCUAUACAGUUCAAAUGGCAGAAAGCACAAGGAAAUUACAUUGCAGUUACAGGAGCUGAUCAUGCAGUAAAAAUCUUUGAUCGCCAUGGUCUAAAGAAAAAUGAAAUUAGUCUUCAAGGCCCCUGUGUUGCUAUGGAUUGGGAUGUAGAUGGAGAUACAUUAGCAAUAAUUGCUGAAAAAUCUACCUGCAUCUAUUUGUGGGAUGGCAAUACAAAUAAGACUAGUCAAUUGGAUAGUGGCAUGAGGGAUCAGAUGUCUUUCCUGCUUUGGUCAAAAGUUGGAGCCUUACUUGCUAUUGGAACAGUUAAAGGAAACUUAUUUAUAUAUAACCAUCAGACUUCUCGCAAAAUUCCUAUACUGGGUAAGCACACUAAACGAAUAACAUGUGGAUGUUGGAGUUCUGAAAACUUACUGGCACUAGGUAGUGAAGAUAAAAUUAUAACAGUUAGCAAUCAGGAAGGUGAUACAAUAAAACAGGUUCUUUUGAAAACAGAGCUUAGUGAUAUGCAGUUUUCAAUGAUGAGGAGUGAAAACAGAGCAAUAACAACUGAAAAUACUAUAAGUGUGGUGGUUGGCAAGAAGAAUUUGUUUCUGUUUAAUGUGAAUUGUCCAGAAAAUUCAAUUGAUCUGGGAUUCCAGCAGCACUAUGGCAAUGUUGUUUGUUAUCAUUGGUUUGGUGAUGGCUACAUCAUGAUUGGUUUUUCACAUGGGUAUGUUGUGGUUAUUUCAACACAUUUUCAAGAAAUUGGUCAAGAAACCUUUCAAAUUCGUGACCAUAAAGAUAACCUAACCAACAUUGCAAUAUCUCAGUCAUUAAAUAAAGCUGCAUCAUGUGGAGACAGCUGUAUUAAAAUCCAUGAUUUAUCAGAAUUGAAAGAAAUGUAUGCCAUAAUAAAUCUGGAUGAUGAAAAUAAAGGUUUAGGUUGUAUGUCUUGGACAGAUGAUGGACAAUUGUUGGCAGUGGCUACACAACGAGGCUCGCUCCAUGUUUUCCUGACAAAACUUCCAGUGCUUGGAGACACUUUUAGUACUCGGAUUGCUUACCUUACCUCUCUCCUUGAAGUAACUGUAACCAACCCUGUUGAAGGAGAGCUACCAGUCACUGUUUCUGUUGAAGUGGAACCUACCUUUAUUGCAGUAGGCCUUUUUCAUUUGGCUGUUGGGAUGAAUAACAGAGCCUGGUUUUAUGCACUAGGAGACACAGGUGUCAAAAAACUGAAAGAUAUGGAAUAUCUGGGGACCGUUGUUAGUAUGAGUCUUAAUUCUGACUAUGCUGCUGUGCUCUUUGAGGGAAAAGUUCAGUUACACAUGAUAGAAAGUGAAAUUUUGGAUGGUCAAGAAGAAAGAGAAACUCGUCUUUUCCCAGCAACAGUUGAUGAAUACAGAAUUUUGUGCCACACGUUAACUGGUGAUUUUCUGAUCUAUGGUACUGAUGCUGGUGUGAUUCAUUAUUUUUACAUUGAAGACUGGCAACAUGUGAAUGAAUAUCGGCAUACUGUCAGUGUUAGAAGGAUUUUUCCUGAUCCAAAUGGGACCAGGUUGGCUUUCAUUGAUGAUAAAAGCAGUGGCUUUCUGUAUUGCCCUGUAAUUGACACAGUGUAUGAAAUUCCAAAUUUUCCACCAACCAUCAAAUGCAUUCUUUGGGAAAAUUGGUCAAUGGAUAAAGGUGUAUUUGUGGCUUAUGAUGAUGAUAAAGCGUAUACUUAUGUCUUUCACAAGGAUACUAUAGAAGGGUCCAAGGUAAUCUUGGCAGGAGGCACAAAGGUUCCCUUUUCCCAUAAGCCUUUGCUUUUGUAUAAUGGAGAAUUAACCUGCCAGACACAGAGUGGAAAAAUAAACAAUAUUUUCCUUAGCACCCAUGGCUUUCUUAACAAUUGUACAGACUCAAAAAGUAGUGAGCUGAGACAUAUACUGAUGCAAACUUUAAUGCUGAAAAGGAGUAUACUCAGUUUUGCUGGAUUUUCUGAAGCAUGGGAAGUAUGCAAACUUCUGAAUGAAACAUCUGCUUGGAAUGAAUUGGGCAGUGCCUGUCUGCAUCACAUGGAAGUGGAAUUUGCCACACGUGUGUAUCGUACAAUUAGGAAUGUUGGGAUGGUGAUGUCAUUGGAACAAAUAAAAGGAAUAGAAGAUCACAAUUUGUUAGCAGGCCAUCUUGCCAUGUUUACUAAUGAUUUCAAUUUGGCGCAAGAUCUGUAUCUGGCAUCCAGUUGUCCUGCUGCAGCACUUGAAAUGAGGAGAGAUUUGCAGCAUUGGGACAGUGCACUUCAACUAGCCAAAUGUUUGGCCCCAGACCAGAUUUCAUUCUUAUCAAAGGAGUAUGCUAUUCAGUUGGAAUUUACAGGUGAUUAUGUAAAUGCCUUGGCUCACUAUGAGAAAGGAAUCACUGGAAACAAUAAGUAUCAAGAACAUGAUGAAGCCUGUCAAGCUGGAGUAGCUCAAAUGUCCAUUCGCAUGGGAGAUAUUCGUCGAGGGGUUAAUCAAGCCAUUAAACAUCCUAGCAGACUGCUGAAAAAGGACUGUGGAGCAAUUCUAGAGAGCAUGAAGCAAUUUUCAGAAGCAGCUCAGUUAUAUGAAAAAGGACAAUAUUAUGAUAAAGCAGCAUCUGUGUAUAUCCGAUGUAAAAACUGGGCAAAAGUUGGUGAGUUACUUCCGCAUGUGUCUUCUCCAAAGGUUCAUCUACAGUAUGCCAAAUCUAAGGAAGCAGAUGGAAGAUAUAAAGAAGCUGUUGUGGCUUAUAAAAAUGCCAAGCAAUGGGAUAAUGUAAUACGUAUAUAUUUGGACCACCUUGGUAAUCCUGAAAAAGCUGUUAGUGUUGUCAGAGAAACCCAGUCUCUUGAAGGAGCCAAAAUGGUAGCCAGAUUCUUCCUCCAGCUGGGUGACUAUGGUUCUGCUAUACAAUUUCUGGUUAUGUCCAAGUGCAAUAAUGAAGCUUUCACACUGGCCCAGCAGCAUAAUCAGAUGGAGCUUUAUGCUGAUAUUAUUGGUUCUGAGGACACCACUAAUGAAGACUAUCAGAGCAUUGCUUUAUAUUUUGAAGGAGAAAAGAAACAUUUUUCAGCAGGAAAAUUCUUUUUGCUGUGUGGCCAGUAUGCACGGGCUUUAAAGCAUUUCCUGAAAUGUUCAAACACAGAGGAUAACACGGCCAUAGAAAUGGCAAUUGAUACCGUUGGACAGGCAAAUGAUGAAUCACUGACCAAUCAACUCAUAGAUCAUCUCAUGGGUGAAAGUGAUGGCAUGCCCAAGGAUGCUAAAUAUCUCUUCCGUCUGUACAUGGCACUGAAACAAUACAGAGAAGCUGCCCAGACUGCCAUAAUAAUUGCCAGAGAGGAGCAAUCUGCUGGAAAUUAUCGAAAUGCCCAUGAUGUUCUCUUCAGUAUGUAUGCAGAACUGAGAAACCAGAAAAUUAAAAUCCCAUCUGAGAUGGCCACAAACCUUAUGAUUCUGCACAGCUAUAUUUUAGUGAAGAUUCAUGUUAAACGUGGAGAUCACUUAAAGGGAGCACGUAUGCUUAUUCGUGUCUCCAAUAACAUCAGCAAAUUCCCAUCACAUAUUGUGCCAAUUCUGACUUCAACAGUAAUUGAAUGUCAUCGAGCAGGUUUGAAAAAUUCAGCUUUCAGUUUUGCAGCCAUGUUGAUGAGGCCUGAAUAUCGCAAUAAAAUAGAUAUAAAAUAUAGAAAAAAGAUAGAAGCAAUGGUCAGGAGACCAGAUACAUCAGAGACAGAAGAGACAACAACACCAUGCCCAUUUUGUGAAUUCCUUCUCCCUGAGUGUGAACUACUGUGUCCAGGAUGUAAAAAUAAUCUCCCAUACUGCAUUGUAACUGGUAGACAUAUGAUAAAGGAUGAUUGGACUGUGUGCCCUUACUGUGACUUUCCUGCUUUAUAUUCAGAGAUGAGAAUAAUGCUGCAUACAGAAGGUACUUGUCCUAUGUGUUCAGAAACAUUGGACACUGCUCAUAUUAAAAAAAUUGCUGACUGUACACUCUAUCUCAAGCCAGAAGCAGGGGAUCAUUAAUGGUUUCAGGUGAUUAUUUCUUGCUACUGUAAGUGAUCAGGCAAGAGCUGGAUGACUCCUCAAGGAUCUGGUAGAAGGUAUUCAUGCAUCAAGGAGUUUAGACUAAAUGGUCACUAAAAAUCCCUUCCAGUAUUAAUUCAAUGACAUAAAAAAGUACAAGAACUUCACAAGACCAUUUAAUCCAGCUAACUGACAUUAAGGCAACCUUCUUAAUUGGAUAUGUUCUAAAAGAGAAAAUGAAGUUAAUUAAUAAUGACUUUUUAUUUUUUCAAAGUUAAUCUGUUGUUAAUUGCUGAAUAACAUUUGUGUGGCAUUUUAUGAUUUAUUUAUAGAUGAAGAAUGCUUUUGAUGAAAUACUUUGUUAUUGUUUACCUAAAAUACCUUAUAAUUUGAUAGGCAUAUGAUUUGUUAUGAAUGUGUAAUAUUUUCUUAUGUUUAUU